UCCUACGGGGGGCAGCAGUGAGGAAUAUUGGUCAAUGGUCGGGAGACUGAACCAGCCAAGCCGCGUGAGGGAGGAAGGUACAGAGUAUCGUAAACCUCUUUUGUCAGGGAACAAAGGCGGGGACGUGUCCCCGGAUGAGUGUACCUGAAGAAAAAGCAUCGGCUAACUCCGUGCCAGCAGCCGCGGUAAUACGGAGGAUGCGAGCGUUAUCCGGAUUUAUUGGGUUUAAAGGGUGCGCAGGCGGUCUGUUAAGUCAGCGGUCAAAGCACGGGGCUCAACCCCUGCCCGCCGUUUAAACUGGCAGG
rnacentral:rRNA from 1 species